GACGGAGGGUGCUAGCGUUGUUCGGAAUUACUGGGCGUAAAGGGCGCGUAGGCGGCCUGGUCAGUCGGAUGUGAAAGCCCGGGGCUCAACCCCGGAACGGCAUCCGAGACGGUCAGGCUGGAGACCGGGAGAGGAGAGUGGAAUAGCCAGUGUAGAGGUGAAAUUCGUAGAUAUUGGCUGGAACACCGGUGGCGAAAGCGGCUCUCUGGCCCGGUUCUGACGCUGAGGCGCGAAAGCGUGGGGAGCGAACAGG
rnacentral:rRNA from 1 species